rnacentral:rRNA from 1 species
GCGACGACGGGUAGCCGGCCUGAGAGGGCGACCGGCCACACUGGGACUGAGACACGGCCCAGACUCCUACGGGAGGCAGCAGUGGGGAAUAUUGCACAAUGGGCGAAAGCCUGAUGCAGCGACGCCGCGUGAGGGAUGACGGCCUUCGGGUUGUAAACCUCUUUCAGCAGGGAAGAAGCGAAAGUGACGGUACCUGCAGAAGAAGCGCCGGCUAACUACGUGCCAGCAGCCGCGGUAAUACGUAGGGCGCAAGCGUUGUCCGGAAUUAUUGGGCGUAAAGAGCUCGUAGGCGGCUUGUCACGUCGGAUGUGAAAGCCCGGGGCUUAACCCCGGGUCUGCAUUCGAUACGGGCUAGCUAGAGUGUGGUAGGGGAGAUCGGAAUUCCUGGUGUAGCGGUGAAAUGCGCAGAUAUCAGGAGGAACACCGGUGGCGAAGGCGGAUCUCUGGGCCAUUACUGACGCUGAGGAGCGAAAGCGUGGGGAGCGAACAGGAUUAGAUACCCUGGUAGUCCACGCCGUAAACGUUGGGAACUAGGUGUUGGCGACAUUCCACGUCGUCGGUGCCGCAGCUAACGCAUUAAGUUCCCCGCCUG